rnacentral:misc_RNA from 1 species
CAGUACACACAUACACAAACAAGAAGAAGGGAAAGAGGCGAGGCGUACCAUUCGCUUUUUUUCUUCGUUGUUCUGUGCACAUGUGCGAUGGGGUGCGGCUGCUGGGGCGGCCGGGUCUACUUGAAUUUUUCGUUGUGCGCGUUGUGGACGGACCUUUUUCCUACGGCGUCUCCAUUGCGCACGUCACGAUCGACUCGAUAGAUUCAAAGAACCGCACAUAAUUCCACCGUUACACGGAUUCGUAGUCGACAUCCUUCUCUGUCAACUUUCAGCCAUUUCAGACGCCGCUCACCGCGGCAAAAUCGGCUCGAGAAUCACGAACCCCACUGAAAAGGCAAGAAAGCCGAUGGAAGACGAGGAGGAGUUGUCGAUGGUUGUACCGGUGCCGGGGUCUGGCGUCUCCUCCCAGCGUGCUGCUUCGGAGCGGUCGGUGCAUGCGGGGAAAUCAUCGGCACAGGAUGCUUCAACUUCGGCAUGCACCGCAGGCACCCCCUUCUCGCGCUCCAGGACACCUGUUCCUUUUCGCCGAGCUCCUUCUGCUGCACGGGGAAGCGAUGAGCAGGACCAAGUAAGCAUUCCUACUCCCUCUAUCCAGAGAAUGAAGCCGUCAAUGUCGCCAAAGGUGGAUGAAUCGACUGCAGCGCCCACACAAAGGCCGUCUGGGCGUUCUGCCGCGUCCAGCACCUCUAUCGUGUUCUCGGGGGCCGACAGCACCACCGGGACCUCUAUCCUGUUCGCCAGCGGUGACGCGUCUUCUGACCGCGUCAUGAGCGGUGAAGUUUCACCGCUUAGUCGCUCCCCUUGUGUUGCGAAGAAAGACAAGUCUGGCAACGUUGCUGCGCCGAAGCCGCAGACGAAAUACGACGAGGUUGCCCAGGACGCUGCUGCUGUUGUCGAUCUCACGAGUGACUCGUCGUUUGACCUCCACAUCGAGGAAGAUGAGCAGGCGGAGGAGCCGCCGGCAGUGGCGGCAGCGGCGGAUGAAGCACCGCAGGAUGAGCGCGAACCGUCAAAGGCGUCUAAGAAUCCAACGCCUGGCUCAUCUAAGCUUGCCUCAUCGAUAUCCAAAAAGGAGGCAACUGACAAACGCAUGGAAAAAGCGGGCAAAUCCACGAGCCGUGCCACGCCUGCGGUGCCGUCUGCCCACCCUGCACCGAGGGGCAGCCGUGCGCGCCGUGGAGCCAAAGUUACCGUGCCUUCACAGCAAGCGAGUGCUGCCCGUGCCUCGAGAGGCCGUCCGGGAACGUCAUCAGCAUUGGAGCGGAAGGCAAACACCCCUCGAGCAGAGCAGCAACUUGCCUCUUCUAGAGAUCAUGAUUUGGUCGCCUCCCCGUCGCCAUCCUCUCGCAUCAGCAGCAGCGGGGGCAGUCUUAGUCACCCCGAGUCUCGCGGCUCUGUGAACUCCGUCGGCGAGGAGAGCGCAGAGCGCUUUCCGAAUCGCGAACGCCAUGGCGACCGUCGGCUUCGUCCCACCCCGGCCGAGGACACAGAAGAUGAUGAGGAUCGGCGGUCAAUCAGCACACCAGAGCGAGUAGUAGGGCAUGGCGCAUCUCGUAACCACAAAGGCGUCACAUCAGACACUGGCGAGAGGGCUCGCAGCAGUCGCGCACGCCGUGGGGCGGCCAAUGAGCAUUCGCGAAGGGCGCAUUCUGGUCCCUCGCGCACGGAUCGCUGCCGAGGUAGAGAACUGUCGCGAGAGGGGCACCAUCAUUUGUCGUCACGGUCACCGGUGCGCCGCCAUGGCUCCCGGCGCCUGACCGUCGAAAGCUUGCACGGCGGCGCGCUGGCGCACGAGUGUUUGAUGGAGCUGUGGCAGCACAACCGCGAGGGGGACUUUGACUGGCCUCGGCCACACCGCCGGCGCCGCAGCGGUGAGGCACCUCCACAUCAUCGGUGCCACUGCCGCUCAGAAAGUAGCGCGGAUCACGUGCCGCUCCACCGCGUCUCCUUCUACGACGACUACACAGAUAACGACGUGUACGCUGCAGCCGCUGUCACUUCUCAUGAGCGAUUCGGUGGCCUCACGGAGCGGUUUCGCCGUCGCAGCAGCCGCGAGGGUGGGGACGACGGGUACGGGGCGGCGGCCGUGCAAAGCGCACGCUCAGCCGCCAGCUCCGUCUUCAGCGGCGAUGACGUCGAGGACAAGGAGGAACUGCUUACCUCCUCCCAGGUCAAUGACCGCAGGAGCAGUACUAGGGGCCGCCGAGUCGAUACUGAACUGUCGCCUCGCUCAAAGGCGCGUUACGCCGAUAGCAGACCAGGGCAAACAAUAUGCCGGCAAGAACUUCUAAGGUACGACUACGGAAAUCGCCGGGCGUCCGAGCUUCGAGGAGGUGGAUCGAUGCACCGCCGCGAUGGCACUGCGGCCCGCGAUCAUCGCCGUCGUGGCGCUGAGUGGGAGCCUGACUACUACUACUUGAACGCGCCACGGAAAGGCUAUUCGCUCGAUAGCGGUGGCUGCGGCUCUUCUCGGUGCCUGCAAAGCUGCCACAGUCCCCGUCUGGCUGCUCCGCCGGCUCGUGAGAGCCCUCUCCUUUCGCGUUGUGGCAUCUAUCGCCCUGAUUUGCCUUCGGACGCACUGUCAGGCGAGGUGCGGUAUCAGUCACUCCCGCCUUCGGCAUCCUCGCCCGUUCGCAGGCACCGAGCCCGGAGCGCGGCAAGCGGCAAACAGGCAACACCAUUGCGGCGAGCGUCACAGAGCCUUGCGUCCUCUGUGGCUUCCAUCUCUCUUCCGGAGAAGGAGCUGCUGGGCGAGGUGGAGUGGAAGCUGGAUGCGCUGGAGAAACAGAUCGCCGACGAAGAUGCAGAGCGGGAGCGAGUGAUGAUGCGUAGUCCGUUUGAGCGGCUCUACCAUCUGAACAACCGCCGCGACCGUGACGAGCGACGCAAUAAAGUGUUCCAGCUAAACCUCCUCGAACGGAUUCGCGACCGAAUCGUCUCCGGCUCGCUGAAGGAGGACAUCGCGCGGAAGGAAGAGCGGCUGCGCAAGCAGGAGGAGAUGCUGACAAGUCCAAACGGGGUGUUUGUUCGCCUGUACCAGAACUCGAGUCCGCGUCGCUCCUCAAACGUCGCCGCCGAAGGCAGCGAUUGCAAGAGUGCGGGAGAGGGCAACCGUGACGGGCGUGCCAGCGUCAACACUACCGGCGUGUCCAGUCAGCGGGCGUCGACGGCACGUAGCCGCAUGAGCACGGCCGAGUCGCAGGAGCUGUGCAACCGCCUCUACGAAACCGCCGCCAUCGUGAAGCAGAAGAAGGAGGCGAUGAGGAAGCAAUCGGUAGAGAAGCGCCAACGGCAGCAGGCAGAGGAGCUCCUGAUCGCACGCUUGGCGGGCCAGAUUCAGCUCGAACGAUCCCGGGCACGUGCCUCGUCAAAGAGGCGACCAAAGACGCCAGCUCAGUUGGAAGACGAAGCCCGCGCGGAGCUGGAGAAGCUGCGCGAAGAGGACCCGGAAGGCUACGAGAAGAAGGUGCUGCGAGGUCGCGUGCUGUCGCCAGCGGAAAGAAAUAUGCAGGCCGAGCGGCUCUGGAAGCACGGCUAUAUCUCGAAGGCUAAACUAGAGGCGCAAAAGAAGGUGUUGGAGCUGAAGAAGUGCACUUUUCAGCCUACCAUCAAUGAGUUCCCAGCCUCAGCCGGCAUUGCCGGGCGUGAACAGACGCGCAGCAAGGGCGGCGGUGGCGCGAAUGAUGCCAAACACUUGAGCGCCGGCACCGACCGUGCGCAGCGCCACCGCAAGGCGGACCGGUUCGAGGAGCUGUACCACAAAGGAAUGCAGGCCAAGGUGCGUGGAGAGACGCUACGCGACGAGCGCGACCGUGAAGCGCGCCUCAGCAUCCUGCGCAGUCGUAUGGUGAGCGACCACCAUUUUCGGCGCCGCGUCGAGCUCGACCCAUCGCUCGCCGAGCGCUUCAUGAAGUCACUGGUUGUGUAGUGCGCCGAUUGCCGACAGGCUAUUCGCUGCGCGCAGCUACAAGGAGCGCCCGGCGCAGGGUGUACUACACUCGCAUGCAUGCCACGUGCCGAGGGGCGGGGAAGGGGGCUUUGCUGUUGUCUGCGCCCGUGUCUGCGUGCGGAAGCAGCGGCAUACGCAUCGGGUGUUGGAGGCAGAAUCGUCGCACAUGCACUUGUUAUUUUUUUGAGCUGCUCUCACUACAUAUCACUCUGAUGCUCCCUUUCUUUACUUGUGUGACGGCUUGUUUGUAUGUGCUUCAGGGGUGCGUCAAGAAGCUGAUGCUCCUUGUCUCCUCAGCAUGUCCGCUAGAUCGUUUGGAUGGUUUUCGAGUCGUCUGUCCCUUGCAGUGGCGUUGCUGUGUUUCUAUUUACAUAGAUGUUUGGCUGCAUCCUGCAGGUGCCAAACUGACGAAGCUCGAUCUGGUACAUGAGCGGGGACUAGAACAGUGGCUUUUGCGUGACUCCGUACAGAAACAUGUCGAGACUGCAACUCACCACGCGCACAAAAGUGCGACCACGCAGGCGCACGGACAGGCUCUCUCACCACCUACCUCGUGUUCUCUUUCUGCUGUUCCUCUCUUGCGUGCCAGGUUCACCUCCUAUUCCAUUUUCUUUUUCGUCUUUUUUGUUUGGAGGUCUGUCGUCGACGCGAGAGGGAGGGAGGGGCCGCAGCCUUGUGAAGCAUGCGCUCCGACAUAGACUUGUAUCGGUGUUGCACACAGGGGCGUAUGGUGAGGGGAAAGAGCGAAUCACUCGCAGUAUGCUGCGACGAAGCUGCUUGAACAUCGUUGUGGACUGCCCCUCUCCCUCUGUGUGUUCUGUCGUGCCCACUCUUGCCUUGUCUGCAUGUGCCAGUGAGACACACACAAGGCAGCAAAGGGAUGGAGACAGACAUGGCGGCUGUGGGAAGAAAGAAGAAAGCGGAUGGGGUCCGAAAGAGCUGUCACGCACUACUGCUGCUGUGUCCACGAUGCUGAGGUGAUCCGUUGGCUGAGCCCUUGCGCAUCUCGCUUCUGUAGCGAGACGCUGGCAAACUGCCGCCGCCUCUUUUUUUUUGUCUACCUUGUCGUGCAUUGCCGUCUCUCCCCGCACCUUUCAACUAUGGCUGAGGAGGGCGCGAGAGAGUAAGAGGGGCCAUGCAAAGGGAUGUGCUGCUUCUGCAACAUGCUGUGCUGUGGUGUGUCUCUGCUCCCAUGCGUGCACAAUGGUAUUCGUGCUUCUCCUUGUGGUUCUGUUGGUUGUUACACUUCGAUGCGAUGAGAACCCCAAUGCAGCAAACUUUAAAGGACGGAUCCACCGCGGCACCAGUCUCCGUGGAGCGCAAAGGCAUGGUACUCGCUCCGGUCUGGUGCCACGCACCUGUGUGAUAGCGUUGCGCCGACUCGCAACACCAUCAUUGCUCUCAUUGUGCG